rnacentral:rRNA from 1 species
GACGUCUACGAGUUUGAUCAUGGCUCAGAUUGAACGCUGGCGGCAUGGCUAAUGCAUGCAAGUCGAACGAAAGCCCUUCGGGGCGAAAGUGGCGAAAGGGCGAGUAAUACGAUCGAACGUACCCCAAGGUGGAGGAUAGUGUCGGGAAACUGACGGUAAUACUCCAUGUGCUCUUCGGAGGAAAGCUUUGGCGCCUCGGGAGCGGCGAUCGUCCUAUCAGGUAGUUGGUGAGGUAAUGGCUCACCAAGCCGAGGACGGGUAGCGGGUGUGAGAGCAUGACCCGCCGCAUCGGGACCGAGACACUGCCCGGACUCCUACGGGAGGCUGCAGCGACGAAUCUUCCGCAAUGGGCGCAAGCCUGACGGAGCAAUGCCGCGUGUGGGACGAAGCGUCUUCGACGUGUAAACCACUGUCAGAAUCUAGGAACACUGACCAGAUUCAAAGGAAGGGCCGGCUAACCUCGUG